GACGAACGCUGGCGGCGUGCCUAAUACAUGCAAGUCGAACGCUGAAGGCGGAGCUUGCUUCUCUGGAUGAGUUGCGAACGGGUGAGUAACCCGUAGGUAACCUGCCUGCUAGCGGGGGAGAACCUUUUGAAACGAUAGCUAAUACCGCAUAAGAGAAGAUGUUGCAUGUCAUUUGCUUACAAGUUGCAUUUUCAUCACUACAAGAUGGCCCUGGGUUGUCUUAGCUUGUGGGGGGGGUAACGGCUAACAAAGACGACGAGACAUAGCCGACCUGGGAGGGUGAUCGGCCACACUGGGACUGGGACACGGCCCAGACUCCUACGGGAGGCAGCAGUAGGGAAUCUUCGGAAAUGGACGGAAGGCUGACCGAGCAACGCCGCGUGGGUGAAGAAGGGUAUCGGAUCGGAAAGAACAGUUGUCAGGGAAGAACGAGCGUGAGAGUGGAAAGUGCACACUGUGACGGUACCUAAGCAGAAAGCGACGGCUAACUACGUG
rnacentral:rRNA from 1 species